GGGCUCAGCUCAUACUGCUUAUCAACACCUUCGCACAGACUGUGGCUACUGAAGGAGGUGGGGGCAACACUGCAGUCAAGAGGGUCACUGACUUGACAUAAGCUGAAUGGUACAAAGCAAAGACAUCCAACUGCAUCAGUCAUGCAUCUGGAAAGCCCUAGCACGUCUCUGGGAGGCAGUUUCCUGUUUGUAGAAGAAGAAGGAGAGACUUCCUCAGAGCGGCUGCUCGCUGGACACACUGUUCUGACUUUGCACAAUCACAGGAACCCAGGGGGCAGCGGAGAGGAGCCUUUGCACUCCAAACUUUUGCAGAUACACAAGCAGGCGCAAACUUAAUGGACAAAGCAGAGUAUGCUCACUCAUUCAGAAGGGCAUACAUACGAGUGCAGGACAAAUUACCCCGACAUAUGCAUACACAAGAGCGAGCCACUUCUGCAUGCACACACAUACAAAUGUCUGUUUUCUGCAUUACACGCUCUCCAGUUCUAAUUUACUGCUGGUACACUGCGGCGAGGAAAUUAUGAGUAUUCCAGCUGCGCCCCAAAGCAGCAGAGCCCUAAGUAAGUUCUUCAAAAUGUUCGCUCCUCUGAUAGGAGUAGCCAAAACAUCCUGUUUGAAUAAAUAUAUAGAGCUAUAUUUUUCUACAAAGCAAAUAUUGUGCCCCUUUUUUCCCCUGAAGGUUUUUCUAGCAGCACCUUGUUUCCUAUCACGUAUUUCCUUUAGGAUAAUAUGAAAUGUAAAAAAGAUAAAACUUUCUUUUUACCUAAAAAGACCACUGAAAUUCUAUAUUAAUAUGGAAAUAUUUCACGCUAUUUGAAAUGUGGAAGCCAUAAUCUAUGUGGCAAUGCUGCCUCUGCCUAUUAUGUGAUGACACAUUAUUUAUUCAGCCUGUCAGUGGCUUCAUCUAGUACAAUCCAGUAUUGGGUGCACCCACCGUACGCCUGAGGUGCCAAACACUGUUCGCUCCCGUACACAAACACUGACAACCACAAAGUACACGUGCACACAGAAUGCCACACAUCAUGAGAGCCGACCUCUCAUGAUGAAAACAUCCUGUGGCGUGUCUAACCCUUCUGUUCGCACAAGGCCGGGCUGGAGCCAUCGCUACUUUAGAUAUCCAGUUACAGAGGGACAUUGUGUGUCAUAACACAACAGCACAGUGGCACCUCCAUAGGUAACACGCAUAAACACUACACAAGGCUUUAUCACUGUUCGGAUUUGAACUCUUUUUCAGAGUGCUGAUCCUUUCACAGUUCAGAGCGAGAGACUGCUUGGAGUGGAGAUGCACAGACACUUAUCCAUCACUUACAAACAUUAAUCUAUUUUAUGCUUUAAGUUUGAUGUCUGAUUGGAGUUGAGCGUCUAGUGUUUCACAAAUGGAGAGGCUCUUACCGACACUUUAACAGCACAGAGUGAAAGUGAACCUUGCUGUAUAGUGCAGAGUAUAUAACAGCUCAUCCCCUGCUUUAGUGUAUUAGCCCUGACUCUGCUAGAUCUCCUUACCCUGAGUUGACGUUUGAAUUCAGCUGGACAGGGGGCAAGUAAGACCAGACGGACUGAGCAGCAAACAUCAGGCCCCUGGCUAAGGACGCACCAAUAUAUUAUUAGAAUUCGGUGUCUGUUAUCAGCUGAUAUCUGCUUUGAAAACGUCAUCAGUGUAAGGCCAAUAACAUAUUUGACAUGUUGGGAAAGAAGCAUUUUAUUCCUAAAUGUAGCUUGUGUCACUGUCAUGUUUGCACAUUUUUAACAUGGAUAACUCAAUCUCUAUACAACAGAAAAGUCUGAAAUCCUUACCCUCCUUUGCAGGCUCUUGCGCAAAUUAAUUUAAAUAUUAUUUAAACUGGAAAAAGGGCAAUAUCCAAAUCGCAGGAGCUGCAGUAAUUUAAUAAAGGCAAAGUUUGUCACAACAUACCGUUAUAAAUAAAGCAUUGUGGUGCUACAGAGAAGACCUGGCCUACAAAUCAUAUUCCAGAUAUAAGGGAACUUCACUGUUCAGUACAUACCCUCGCAAAAAAUGUGAUGCAAAAAUUAUCAUUCACACUAAAAUUUCUAUUUCAUAUUACAGUAUCUGUCAAAAUAUAUAUUUCCACUAUACAUAUAUUGUGCAACCCUAGUACAGUUAUCUGUUGAUAUAUUGGUGCAUCCCUAUUCUUGGCCUCACGCCUUACAGUGUGUUUCCAAAACAGACACUUCUGCUAUUUCACACAGCUUUUGACAGCAGAAUUAAAUCUCAUGAUGUAAGAAAGUGAGUCAUCCUAAGGAGAGUGAAUGACCUAAGGCUAAAUGCACCAUCACUGGUCUCCUUCCUCGUGUUUAUUUCCCAUGCAGACAGUGCUAACACACUGCGUAGAUGGCUGAUUCAGUCUUCUGGGGAGGACAUCUGGUUGGGUUCAGACAGCAGUGUGGACGCUUGCACACAUCAAGGGAAGCAGUCCCACAUCCAGCUCUUAUUAACAGUGUCAUGUCCUUAAGCUUGGUUGUCUGAUUCAUUCAUAAAAGACUGUGCUCAUUGUCUGUCUGCACAGCCAGCUGAUUAGAUUUGUGUGUUAGUUAAUGUGAUUUUCUCUCUUUGCAGCAUUCCUGUGCCAUAACUGAUAAAGAGCAAGUUAAAAGAGAAGCAUGGGGAAGGGUUAAAAGUUAAAUUAAAUCGACAAGCUUUGGAGUUAAGGUGAAAAAAGCCCAACAGAAAUGUGU